AUACUAAAAUUCAGCAGCACAUAUACUAAAAUUGGCAUGAUACAGAGAAGAUUAGCAUGGCCCCUGCACAAGGAUGACAGGCAAUGUAAAAUAAUGUAAAAUAAAUGAUU